rnacentral:misc_RNA from 1 species
GAUGAAGAACGCAGCGAAAUGCGAUAAGUAAUGUGAAUUGCAGAAUUCAGUGAAUCAUCGAAUCUUUGAACGCACAUUGCGCCCGCCGGUAUUCCGGCGGGCAUGCCUGUUCGAGCGUCAUUUGUACCUUCAAGCCUUGCUUGGUGUUGGGUGUUUGUCUCGCCUCUGCGCGCAGACUCGCCUCAAAACAAUUGGCAGCCGGCGUAUUGAUUUCGGAGCGCAGUACAUCUCGCGCUUUGCACUCAGAACGACGACGUCCAAAAGUACAUUUUUACACUCUUGACCUCGGAUCAGGUAGGGAUACCCGCUGAACUUAAGCAUAUCAAUAAGCGGAGGA